CCCCGCCCUCAGAAGAUCAUUGUGAUAGCUUGGAUGAGAAAUGUCCCCCUACAAGCUCCAGUGUUUGAAUACUUUGUCCCAGUUGGUUGCAAUGUUUAGGGAGGAGGCACAGUUUUGCUGAAGGAAGUACGUUACUGGGGGGGUAGGCUUUCAUAGCCUUGCCCCACUUUGAGUUUGCACCCUUCACUUCCUGCCUGUGGAUGGAGUUACGAGCUCUCAGCUUCCGGCAGCCAUUUUGAACUCUCCCUCUGGAACUGUAAACCGCAACAAACUCUUCUUCUAGAAGUUGCUUCUGGCCAUGGCGCUUCGUCAGAACAACAGAGAAGUAACUGGUACCAUUAUGACAAAAAGUGCACUCAACUAAGAACUUUUGAAGAGUGUUCACACUGAAAUUACAUGCUGAAUACCCUUUUUAAUUGAAUUGUUUGGAAGGUAUGGCAAAGUAUUUCAAUGUCCACCUACAUCAUGACAAGAUUGCUACUUCAG